UACAGAGGUCUCAAGCGUUGUUCGGAUUCAUUGGGCGUAAAGGGCGCGUAGGCGGCAUGGCAAGUCAGGAGUGAAAGGCCUGGGCUCAACCCAGGAACUGCUUUUGAGACUGCCAAGCUAGAGUGCGGAAGGGGCAACUGGAAUUCCCAGUGUAGCGGUGAAAUGCGUAGAUAUUGGUAAGAACACCGGAGGCGAAGGCGGGUUGCUGGGCCGACACUGACGCUGAGGCGCGAAAGCCAGGGGAGCAAACGGG
rnacentral:rRNA from 1 species